AGCGAACGCUGGCGGCAGGCUUAACACAUGCAAGUCGAACGGUCCUUCGGGAUAGUGGCGGACGGGUGAGUAACACGUGGGAACGUGCCCUUAGGUUCGGAACAACACAGGGAAACUUGUGCUAAUACCGGAUGUGCCUCGCAAGAGGGAAAGAUUUAUCGCCUUUGGAGCGGCCCGCGUCUGAUUAGCUAGUUGGUGAGGUAAAGGCUCACCAAGGCUACGAUCAGUAGCUGGUCUGAGAGGAUGGCCAGCCACAUUGGGACUGAGACACGGCCCAAACUCCUACGGGAGGCAGCAGUGGGGAAUCUUGCGCAAUGGGCGAAAGCCUGACGCAGCCAUGCCGCGUGGAUGAUGAAGGUCUUAGGAUUGUAAAAUCCUUUCAGCGGGGACGAUAAUGACGGUACCCGCAGAAGAAGCCCCGGCUAACUUCGUGCCAGCAGCCGCCGUAAGAC
rnacentral:rRNA from 1 species